rnacentral:misc_RNA from 1 species
GCAAACUUGGUCAUUUAGAGGAAGUAAAAGUCGUAACAAGGUCUCCGUAGGUGAACCUGCGGAGGGAUCAUUACAGAGUUCAUGCCCUUUUGGGUAGAUCUCCCACCCUAUGUUAAUAUACUUUGUUGCUUUGGCGGGCCGCCUUUUAGGCUAUCGGCUUCGGCUGGUAAGCGCCCGCCAGAGACCCCAAACUCUGAAUAUGUUUGCUGUCUGAGUUUAUUAUAAUAUUUAAAACUUUCAACAACGGAUCUCUUGGUUCUGGCAUCGAUGAAGAACGCAGC